CUCCUUCGCUGCUCUGAGCCUCCAGUGGGCUGAGCCCACCCAGGCCACCAGGAGUGGGUGGCCCCCUCCACAGUCCCAUCGGCUCUGCCCUUUUGCCUAGAAUUGGGGCCAGGAUCAGGUGGUGACAGAGCCACCUGGGUUUCCGGAGACUCUCAAGCCAACCCCAAGUCAUGACAAAUGCCAGUCGCCUUGGACAGAGGCAAGGUCAACCUGCUUGCCGCCCCCAGCCAGGCCCUGCCACCAAGGGUGUGUGAUGGGGAGACCCCAAUCCCGGGUGCUGGACGGGCUCAGGAGCUCCCCCUUCCGGGAUUUCACGCCCGAAUUAUGUAACAGACGAGGGCCUGGGACGGGGCCUGACGGGGAUCUGUCCUUGCAGGGCCUGGACGCAGAGACCAGAGGCCUGAACUGGCAGACUGUCCUCACAGGCUGUGUGACGCUGGCUGGUCGUCCCAUCUCUCUGGGGCCCCACAGGACUGGGGACCAGGUCGUGGAAUGACAGUGGACCACAGUGGUCCGGGGACCCCGCUCGUUGGUGGCAGGCACAGGCCCGUGUGAUGGGGACAAUGAGCUUUGGUGGUUUAAGGCGUGAAUGAAUGAAGGAGCAAGCAGUAAGCCCCGACAGCAAGGCCACCACAGCCCUCGCCCCACAGGGACGCCUGAGCAAGGACCCAAGCAGGGGACAAGCAGGCUCACCCCGCCCUUGCGGGGCUGACCACGAGGCCCCGUCCGGUGGAACACGCCAUGACGCUUCAGGAGGCUCAUGUAGCUGGCGCCGUAUGGGACAGCGGGGGAGAGAGAAAAUGCACAGCCCAGGGAAUGUGGAGACAGGCCCAGCGCCAGGCAUGGGGGCCGGAAGGAGCAGCCGGGGAGCAGGGGGCAGGGCCUGGAGUCCCGCCUUGCAGGUCAGAGAUCUGAACCUGCCCCAGCCCCAGGACUCUGAGUGCAGCAAGAGGGGAGCCGGGCUGGAGAGUGGGGAGCACGGAGACUGUGGCCUGGAUGGUGCCAGAGCAAACAGGAGAGAGGCUGCCCAACGCAGAGGCUGCAGCACAGACCAGAGGGUCCCGGGGCUGACUGGGUGGGGGCAGCUCCCAGCGAGAGGCCCCUGGGAUUUGGGUAAGUAGAGGCACAUGCAGACUCUGGCCACAGGGCACCUCGCGCACGAGGGGAGUUCACCACACAAGCUGAGCGGAGGGCGGACGCAGGAGAGCAGCGGUUUCUCGGAAGCCAAGGGCGGUCAUGGAGCCCCACGCCACAGCGCUUCCCACGGGGCCACACCAUCCGGUCUGCGGAGGGGGCUGCAUUGCCGGGAAGGACCAUCUGAUUCUGGAUUCCAGCCUCACCCUGGGCCACCGCUGAGUGUCCCAAGUGGCCCCUUAGCCCCCAGGGCCAGGCGGCAUCCCAAUCCCCUAGGGAUGUCUGUGCUCAGAAUGUGGCACACACGCCCCGGCAGGGCCAUCCUCCUCCUCCUGCACCCGCCACAGCCGUGGAUUCGGGGUCUCUAUCGUGGGCAGAAAUUCACACAGUCAAGGUGAGGGUCCCAGGAGCAGCUGUGACCAGGCCCCGGCUGCCAGGGAGAGGGGGUCUUCAGCCGACGGGGCAGACACCCUGAGAUGGACCCUUGUCCAGGGGAGGGCCCUGCCACCCACAAUUCCUUGGCAUUCCUGCACCAGCAGGACGGGCUGAGGGAGGCGCCUCACCAGUGCCAGCGCCCAGCAUCACUGUGCCCCGGUGGAGGGGGAGGCCCUUCCGAGCCUGGGCCUGGGUGUGGAUGAGGGCAGGUCUCUCACCUCUCUGACCUCAGCUUCCUCAACUGGGAAGGGGGGCCACAGCACCCCCUUAGGGGUGAUGAGGAAGUGGGAGCUCAGGGAGGACCCCGGGCAGGGCUGCCUCCUCACCUCUCUUCGGCCUUUGGACACUGGAGCUCAGAGGACCAAGUGAAUGAAUGAAUGACUCGAUCAAUCAACUGAUCCAUGAAUCCAUGGACCCCUGAACAGCUGGACAGCUGGGCUGUGGGCAGGACAGGGGACUCUGGCUGAAGCCGCGUUCAUAUGUGUUCAGCUUUGUGAGUGGGGCGAGGUUGAGGGCUUAUUCAGUGGGGGAGGUGCACGGCAGGGCCAGUACCCUUGGAGGGUCAGGCCACAGGGGCGGGGACACCUGCCAGGAUGCCCAACCCCAGAGGCAGUGGGAGCUGUUGGGGAGCCGUGGUCCCAGUCAGCGGUGGCUUGAUGAGGGCUGCUCCCACUUCAUCCGCAGGAUUCCAGCCGCAGCUACCCCACACCCGAGCUGUCCCUAGUCGCCCACCGCGGCCGGACAAAGCCCCAGCAGCCAAGGUGCUCCGUGGGGAGGGUUUCUUGGGUUUCUUGAAGCCAGUAUUUCCCAUAGUAUCUUACGUCCCAGCAGAGGCCUCCACUGUGCCCGGACCAGCGGCCCACUCAGUGAGUCGAGUGUGCACCUGGCACCCCUCUUUCUGGAAAUCCACGAACAAUGGGCUCCCAGCAGAGGACUGAGGCUGAGCAGGCCACUUCCCUGGAGCUGACCCCACAGCUGUGUAGGUACAGGGUGGCCGUGAACACUUAGGGCUCUCUCGGGCUGUGCGCUUCUUGUUCACUGCAAGGAGCAGGGUGUUGGCUCCUGACCAAGCCCUGUCACUGCUGCCCAGCCACACGUGGGGCCCCUUCACCCACCCCUGACCACCUCAUGCAGGUGAAGCCACUGUGGAAACAGCCUGGCAGUCCCUUGAAAAAUGAAGUCAUAAACCCCAGCAAUUGCACUCCUGGGCCUCUGACAGAGCUUGCACGUCCCCUCCAAAGCUCGUGUUAAGCUGUGAGCCCCAGUGCCGGAGGUGGGGCCUGGUGUGUUUGGGUUCUGGGGGUGGAUCCCUCAUGGCUGGGUGCCAUGAACCCACUCACCACAGUGAGUUCUCACGAGAUCUGGUUGUUGAGAAGUGUGUCAUACCUCCCCCACAACUCUCUGUCUUUUGUUCCGGCUCUGGCAAUGUAACAAGCCUGCUCCUCCUUCGCCUUCUGCCAUGACUGUAAGCUUUCUGAGGGCUGACCAGAAGCCCAGCAGAUGCCAGCACCAUGCUUCCUAUACAGCCUGCAGAACCGUGAGCCAGCUAAACCUCUCCUCAUAAAUCACCGAGCCCCAGGUUUAUCUUUACAGCAAUGCAAGACCUGACUAAUACAGCACCAGCUCCCCAAAAUAAAAAGAAAUAUUCAAACAAAUAAGCGCACAGAAGUGUUCCCAGCAGCACUAUUCACAGCAGCCAAAAGGCGGAGGAGCCACAGGCUUGUCAGCUGAUGACAGAUAAAGAAAGCAUGGCCUGUCAUCCCAGCACUUUGGGAGGCCGAGGUGGGUGGAUCACCUGAGGUUGGGAGUUCAAGACCAGCCUGGCCAACAUGGUGAAACCCAGUCUCUACUAAAAAUAUAAAAAUUAGCUGGGUGUGAUGAUGAGCGCCUGUAGUCCCAGCUACUUGGAAGGCUGAGGAACAAGAAUCGCUUGAACCCGGGAGGCAGAGGUCGCAGUGA
rnacentral:lncRNA from 1 species